UAUAAAAUAAAAUAUAAUUGUUGUUUGGGAAAUUUAUUUUAUGAUUGUGAUAUAAAUAAAUAUUUUUAUUAAGGAUUAUUUAAAUAAUAUUUUUAUUUUUAAUAUUUAUAAUAAUUAAUAUAUAUUAAUGUAUACUAUAGUAAAUUAUAAUAAAUAAUAAUAAAAUUAGUGCCAGCAAUUGCGGUUAGACUAUUGUUAUAAAUAAAUUUAGAAGGUUAAUUAAGAUAAAUAAAAGUUAUUAGAGUAAUUUAUAAUAUAAUUGGCAUUAAUAAGAUAUUAUAUGGUGAAAUAUUUAAUGUUUUAGAUUAGUUUAUUAGUAAGCUUUAUUUUAUAUUAAGAAGUUAUUAGUUUAAACUAGGAUUUGGUACCCUAUUAUUGUAAUAAAGAGUAAAAAAGAUUUAAUUUCAAGAGUAAAUGUUUAAUCAUUAAAUUUAAAUAAUUUGGCGGUAUUUUAAGUCGUUAGAGGAACUUGUUAAGUAAAUGAUAGUCCACGAUAGGAAAGUCUUAUAAUUUUAAUUUUAUGUAUUGUUGUUUAAAGAUUACUUUAAAAGAAGAAAAUUAGUAAGUUUAUUUUAAAAGAAGGAUAAUAAUUCAAAUCAAAAUGUAGUUUUUAUAAGAUUAAAUGAGUUACAAUUAAUAAUAUUAUUGGAUUGAUAAUUUUAAUGAUUAUUUUGAAAUAGGAUUUAAUAGUAAAUUUAUAUAAUUAUAUAAAUUGAAAUUUUAAUAAAAUGUGUACAAAUUGCCCGUCAUUUUCAUGAAUAUAUAAGUGAAAAAAGUCGUAACAAAGUAAAUGUACAGGAAUGUGUAUUUAGAUUUAAAUAAGAUUAUUUAUUAGAAGGA
rnacentral:ncRNA from 1 species